UACAGAGGGGGCAAGCGUUGUUCGGAAUUACUGGGCGUAAAGGGCGCGUAGGCGGCCUUCUAAGUCGAACGUGAAAUCCCCGGGCUCAACCCGGGAACUGCGUCCGAUACUGGAAGGCUUGAAUCCGGGAGAGGGAUGUGGAAUUCCGAGUGUAGAGGUGAAAUUCGUAGAUAUUCGGAAGAACACCAGUGGCGAAGGCGGCUCACUGGACUGGUAUUGACGCUGAGGUGCGAAAGCGUGGGGAGCAAACAGG
rnacentral:rRNA from 1 species